UUCUAAAGGUCCUGAGUUCUAUUUCUGAAA
rnacentral:piRNA from 1 species